GAAGGGGGUGAGAACACAAAGAAUUGCUAAUUC
rnacentral:tRNA from 1 species